rnacentral:rRNA from 1 species
UGCAAGUCGAGGGGUAACAUAGUUGCUUGCAACUGAUGACGACCGGCGCACGGGUGCGUAACGCGUAUAGUACCUACCUUAUAGUAAGGGAUAGCCCAGAGAAAUUUGGAUUAAUACCUUAUAGUAUCUUAAGUGAGCCUUCACUAAGGAUUAAAGAUUUAUCGCUAUAAGAUGGCUAUGCGUUCUAUUAGCUAGUUGGUAUGGUAACGGCAUACCAAGGCUACGAUAGAUAGGGGUCCUGAGAGGGAGAUCCCCCACACUGGUACUGAGACACGGACCAGACUCCUACGGGAGGCAGCAGUGAGGAAUAUUGGACAAUGGAGGCAACUCUGAUCCAGCCAUGCCGCGUGUAGGAAGACUGCCCUAUGGGUUGUAAACUACUUUUAUAGAGGAAGAAACCAUUUCACGUGUGAAAUGCUGACGGUACUCUACGAAUAAGGAUCGGCUAACUCCGUGCCAGCAGCCGCGGUAAUACGGAGGAUCCAAGCGUUAUCCGGAAUCAUUGGGUUUAAAGGGUCCGUAGGCGGUUUAGUAAGUCAGUGGUGAAAGUUUUCGGCUCAACCGGAAAAUUGCCAUUGAUACUGCAAGACUUGAAUUAUUGUGAAGUGGUUAGAAUGUGUAGUGUAGCGGUGAAAUGCAUAGAUAUUACACAGAAUA